AUGAAGAAGAAAAAAUAUAUGCAUGUAUAUUUACACCUUUCUCUUCCUCUCCCUCCCUCUCUCUCUCUUCCUCCCUCUUCCUUUCUCUUCUUUCUUUCUUUCUUUCUUUCUUUCUUUCUUUCUUUCUUUCUUUCUUUCUUUCUUUCUUUCUUUCUUUCUUUCUUUCUUUCUUUCUUUCUUUCUUUCUUUCUUUCUUUCUUUCUUUCCUUUUUCUCUCCCUUUUUUCCUCAAUAUAGAUAUAUGCACAUAUUUAGUCAUAGAUCACAGGUUAUGGUACAUGUACAGACACCACACACACAUACAUAUAUAUAUAUAUAUAUAAUAUAAAUAUAUGUACCUAUGUGGCACAAAGUUUAAGAUUGUUGAAAGUACAUCAUAAUAGUAAUAAUACAAUUUUGUUGUUAAUUUGUUUUAUUUUUCUGUCAUGUCUGACUCUGGAUCUCACUUGAGGUUUUCUUGGCAGAUAUUGGAGUAUUUUGCCUUUUCCUUUUCUAGGUUAUUUUACAGAUGUGUAAACUCAGUGCCUUGCCCAGGGUCAAACAGCCAGGAAAUGUCAGAGGCCAUAUUUGAACUCAAGCCUUCCUAACCUCAAACCUGGUGCUCUGUCCACUAAGUCAUCUAGCCACCCAGUCAUAUAAUACAAAAUUUUAAAAAUAGUACUUUUAUAAUCCUUGCUACUGGGGAGUCCCUUGAGCUUGGGAGUUCUAAGCAAGGCUAAAGCUUUGUGAAUGUUUGCACUAAACAUGGUAUCAAUAUAAUGAGCCAAUGGGAGAGUUGGUGAUGGUCAGUUUCAGGAUGCCUAAAGGAGAAUGGAAGUGGCCCAAGGAGUGAACAUGAGCAGGCCAAAGCUUCUGGGCCUAUUCUCAGUGACAGUGGUCCUUGAGUGGCAGGCACAUGUCCAGUUUGGGCAACAGAGGGAUAUCUAGUCUCAAAAACAUAUAAUAGUGAUUAUAAUAAUAAGGUUUAAAGGCAAAAGAAGAUAUAAUGAUAAAAAUAUGUAAAGACUUAAGGCAAAAAAUAAGACAUUAAAGAGGGGUACAAUGGAAAGAUCACUAGCUCUGGAGUCAGAAGGCUUCAUGCAAAUCAUCACUUCUGAAGGUCUCAGUUUCUUGUUGUGUAAGCUUAAGUGACAAGUUAGAUGACCUCUAAGAUCUCUUCCCUUCCGCUGUGCUAAUAUAAUCCUGUGACCUCAGCAAAUAAUUGGGUUAACUCUUUUUAGGGAUUUUUAAUCUCUCCCAACCCAGGCCUCAUCCUUCCCAAGGUCAAGGUCUUCCUUAGUCAUACAGAAAGCUAGAUCUUCCUAGGCAUAGGGUGAGCCUCCUUACCUCUGUUUAGCCUCUGGGCCCAAAGCUUAUACUUCACACAGGGCGUUCAUGCCAGGCCCAGAACCUCCCACUGAGCUCUGGCUUCUAGCCUGAGGACAUUAGCUCUCAGCCAAUUUGUAGGGCUAGAAAAGGCCAGUACCCACUGCAGCUCAGGAAAACUUCCCUUUCUUUCCUAGCACAGCAGGCAACUUUACUGCUUCCCUAAGUUCACAGGCUGAUGAUUCAUCUGCCUUCAGAGAAGAGGCCAUCCAAGGCUUAUUUUAUAUUAUCACACAUGAUUAAAGUAUAGGAGAACAAACAUGAAUGAUUUCCACCCACAACAGGGGAGGAAUAAUUUAAUAAUAAACUGCCAUGAGAGCUUGGGGCA
rnacentral:lncRNA from 1 species